GAUGAAGAACGCAGCGAAAUGCGAUACGUAAUGUGAAUUGCAGAAUUCAGUGAAUCAUCGAGUCUUUGAACGCACAUUGCGCCCCCUGUUAUUCCGGGGGGCAUGCCUGUCCGAGCGUCAUUGCUGCCCUCAAGCACGGCUUGUGUGUUGGGCCUCCGUCCUCCUCCCGGGGGACGGGCCCGAAAGGCAGCGGCGGCACCGCGUCCGGUCCUCGAGCGUAUGGGGCUUCGUCACCCGCUCUUGUAGGCCCGGCCGGCGCUUGCCGACACAUCAAUCUUUUUUCCAGGUUGACCUCGGAUCAGGUAGGGAUACCCGCUGAACUUAAGAAUAUCAAUAAGCGGAGGA
rnacentral:misc_RNA from 1 species